AAUAGAUACCCUGGUAGUCCACGCCGUAAACGAUGUCUACUAGCCGUUGGGAGACUUGAUUUCUUAGUGGCGCAGCUAACGCAAUAAGUAGACCGCCUGGGGAGUACGGCCGCAAGGUUAAAACUCAAAUGAAUUGACGGGGGCCCGCACAAGCGGUGGAGCAUGUGGUUUAAUUCGAUGCAACGCGAAGAACCUUACCAGGUCUUGACAUCCUAGGAACUUUCCAGAGAUGGAUUGGUGCCUUCGGGAGCCUAGAGACGGGUGCUGCAUGGCUGUCGUCAGCUCGUGUUGUGAGAUGUUGGGUUAAGUCCCGUAACGAGCGCAACCCUUGUCCUUAGUUGCCAGCACGUAAAGGUGGGAACUCUAAGGAGACUGCCGGUGACAAACCGGAGGAAGGUGGGGACGACGUCAAGUCAUCAUGGCCCUUACGACCUGGGCUACACACGUGCUACAAUGGAACGCACAGAGGGCAGCAAAGGCGCGAGCUGGAGCGAAUCCCACAAAACGUUUCGUAGUCCGGAUCGGAGU
rnacentral:rRNA from 1 species